AUCAUAAACAUGCUAAGCUGACUUCGCUCAACCAGAAACACGACUUCCCCCACAAUGAGAUGCAAGAAUUUAAAGCAAUCUCAAUCCAAGUCUAGUUUAUAUUUGAAGUAUACCAAAUUUUCCAAAUAUUUUCUACUCAUGGUGAACGGUGCUUCUGAAAACAGGAUAGUAAACAUCCAAUUCAAGCUGCUCCAAAAUCUGCUGUGUAGCCCAUAGAUAGGAAGAGUGGCCUUCAAUAAUAUCAGUAAUAUCAAUAUUCUCGAUCCCUGGAACAU
rnacentral:misc_RNA from 1 species